UGGGGAAUAUUGCACAAUGGGCGCAAGCCUGAUGCAGCCAUGCCGCGUGUAUGAAGAAGGCCUUCGGGUUGUAAAGUACUUUCAGUCGGGAGGAAGGUGGUAAGGUUAAUAACCUUGGCAAUUGACGUUACCGACAGAAGAAGCACCGGCUAACCCCGUGCCAGCAGCCGCGGUAAUACGGAGGGUGCAAGCGUUAAUCGGAAUUACUGGGCGUAAAGCGCACGCAGGCGGUUGAUUGAGUCAGAUGUGAAAUCCCCGGGCUUAACCCGGGAAUUGCAUCUGAUACUGGUCAGCUAGAGUCUUGUAGAGGGGGGUAGAAUUCCAUGUGUAGCGGUGAAAUGCGUAGAGAUGUGGAGGAAUACCGGUGGCGAAGGUGGCCCCCUGGACAAAGACUGACGCUCAGGUGCGAAAGCGUGGGGAGCAAACAGG
rnacentral:rRNA from 1 species